UACGAAGGGGGCUAGCGUUGCUCGGAAUCACUGGGCGUAAAGGGUGCGUAGGCGGGUUCUUAAGUCAGAGGUGAAAUCCUGGAGCUCAACUCCAGAACUGCCUUUGAUACUGAGAGUCUUGAGUUCGGGAGAGGUGAGUGGAACUGCGAGUGUAGAGGUGAAAUUCGUAGAUAUUUGCAAGAACACCAGUGGCGAAGGCGGCUCACUGGCCCGAUACUGACGCUGAGGCACGAAAGCGUGGGGAGCAAACAGG
rnacentral:rRNA from 1 species